AAAUUUUAGAAAAUAAAUAUAUCAUCAUUGAAAGAAAAAAGAUUUUAAUAUCAAUUUGAAUAUUACUACUAUGUAGAAUUGUGAUAAAGGCUGAAUGUAGGGAUAUUUACGUCUUUUCAUCGAUUCUUUUAUUUAUUGUUUCUACUGAUAUUUAUCCUUUCUCCAUCGUUCUUACCCCCGUAAUCAAGUCGGUAGCUCCGCCUCCCCCGGCAAGGAUUUUUUGUAAACAUGUCCAACAAGAUUCAAAAUCUGAACCUCAACUUGUUGAAUAUGUUCCUUCGUUUCACAAAUUCGUAAGUGUUUUGUCCAGCACAUGAAACCCUUUAAAAAUCAAAUUCCAGAACUUCCAACUCCGCUAAACCCAAGUGCGAAUUUGGAAGCUUUUCGCUCUUCCUUGGUUACAGAGAUUCGCAUGAAAUGUAAGAUAAGUCUAAAGGAUCUUGCGGUGGAAGAAUAGGAUAUCAAAGUCUCUGGUUGUACCGGUACAUCAAACUCUGGUUUUGUAAUAUUAGGCUUAUAAAGUUGCCUAAACUUUAUCUAUACCAUAUAGGCCAUUUUUCAGUUGGAGCUCCACAUAACAUAUUUAUCCAUCAUUGCUUUUCUCCACAAUUGUAUAUUACUGUAAUACUAAUACAUUUGAGAUCCUUUGUUGGAAACCUCAUAGUAGUUGCACCCCUGUCACUAAUUUGAAUGUAACUAUCAAUUUUGACCUGUUUCAUUCAACAAACAAUAACUUGAAUUCUGUAACACCACCUCACAAUUUCUACUAACAUUAUUUUUGGAGCUUUGGAGACAGACCUUGGAGUCAAUGGAUUAAAGUUAAGCAGGACCAAGACAAAAUACUUGAAGAGUAAGUUCAGUGAUAUAAUGUAUGACAAUGACACAGAAGUGAAUCUUGAUACACAAAUCAUCAAAUAGAGGAAGUUCAACUAUCUUGGGUUUGAAAUAAUGAGACUUGCAUCCAGGUAUUCUGUGGUAAGAAGAUGCAAUCAAGAUAAAGUCAGGUUAUAUAAAGUGGUGGUUAGACCAACUAUGUUGUAUAUGAUAGAGUAUUGGCUAAUCAGUAUUGGCUAAUCAAGAAUUCUCAUGUUCGGAAGAUAAAAGCUGAGCUAAGUGAGAAUGUUGCUAUGGAUAAAUGAGAAUAAUCAUUAACACAAAAUACAACAUGGGAUCAAAUCAAACUAUCCACCUUCAGUAUUAUUUAUAUGACAGAGAAUUACUUGAUUAAUCAAAUGCUGCUAAUUUUCAUGUUGUGAAUUAAUUAUUUCAAUCAUGUCUCAUGGAGUUCACUCCCUGAAUACUUUCCUGACUAAGCUCUUUUGGCUGUUCAAAACUCAUCUCCUGCGUGCUUUUAAACGGAGAAUGGUAACUUUUUUGUGCCACGUUUAUUGGAGAGUUCAUAAUACUACUCACUAUUGCACCCACUUGAGUUGAUUGUUGUAACAAUAUUGUUGCUGUUUUGCCUAAGCGAGACAAUGAAGAUGAUUAAUCUGUUACCUUACCAUUAUAUUCUUUUCACAGAUUUCUUUACUUGUGGUGAUCGACUUAUCUUUUACAGUACAAAUUUGUUGUACUAACUGCAUAUAUUUUCAACAAUAACUAUGUCUCCCGAGUAAAAAGAUCACCAGUCCAGCUGCUUGCUUACCGAAAAAGAGCUGCCAAUAUUCUACAGAUAAAACUUCUGCUAUCAACAAAAGGCGACGUGACCUAUACAGACAAUUGUCGUCUGAUAGAAAAGAAACGCUUCUUCUGCAACGGUGUACAAGAUAUUAAGAAUCAAACAUCCCAAACCUUCUGAGUAAUGCCCUUGUUUCAUCACCUACUGGUCGACCCCAAUUAAGUGUGCAAACAGCAUCACUACCACAGAGAUAUUACCCACCGUAAAACACAUUUGCUGAAUAGAAAAAAUAAAUGCAGAGUGCUUUGUCUCUGCCUACACAUAAUUCUGCUAUACUCAUCCAAACAUACCAUGUUACUUGUUCUAUCAGGCAAUGCGCUUUGCGAUAACUCUUCCAUAGUUGGACCAAGCAACGGGAAAGAUAUAAUUGGCUGCUUUUUGAAGUCGGUGUGUACCAUGUACACACUUCGGAUAUUUACACUUCCAAAAAAGGCAUUGUUUGUAUUAAUUACAACUCUCUCUGUCAGGCUCAACAUCAACUCUACCCACUGUACAACAUAACCAAGAUGCAACAACUAUCGGCGCUACAGGUUUGGCAAUAUUUACACAUCAAUGGCAUAUUCGAAAGACAAUACGUCCUAAAACCAAAGAACGAGAUAGAAAAUACAAAAGAGGCACCAAGAUUAUUCAUGCUAAAAUGAUACAAGGUCAGGUAAAUCUAGCUCUUCUGUAAUUUAUUAUUCAUACUUUUCAUCCUAAUAUAUCUUUCUAAUAUCGGUCUGGGUGUAUGGUUCAUUUGGCUUGUUGAUUCAGGUUUAGGGUUAUCUUAUGUUCUUGUGUAGACAGGCACAUGUUUACACGUGUACAUCUGUAUGUUUUUCUUAGUGCUGUUUAGAGCUGAAAUUCAAUUCAGAGUUUUUGGCUGAUGCGGAAGAUGGUAUCUUUGUUUAAUAAGCCAUCUUGAUAAAGAUAUUUCUGUUGCUGUUUUCAUGUAUGGGGAUCACUAGGAAGAACCAGUAAUGCUGGAGACGAAGAGUGGCAGAAUGUACUAUGAAAGGCAUAUCUGUUUAAUGCCUCAGAAUCUUCUAAGUAAAAGAAAAAAAAAGAGGCACUCUAUAGAGACUCAAUAACUUCAGGUUAAAGAAGGAUGGCUUCCACCUUGGCUUGUUGUUUAUCUUGUACAUUUUUAGGUGAUUAGACGUACUUUUUUUGCAUAUUAUAAGGGAGUCUCUCUUUUAUCCUUUUUUCUUGACUUAUCGUGAUUGUGCAGUCGAUUGUUAUGACUUAUUAGAGUGAGCAAGGAAGACCAGCUUUGGAUAGGACCAAAAAAAAGGUCAUGUUCUUCUGCUGAUGCUUCUAAUUAAUUAGUACUUCAUUUAGGUCAAAUUAUGCUCUGUUCUUUAUAGUAUUCUUGAGGUAUCUAUUCUGCAUUAUAGAUGUCAAUCUUGUUAACAAUGAUUUCUUCAGGCCCUGGAGAUCAAAUCUGAAGUAGUAAAGAUGGCGGAGCCUCAUAUUCACUCAUUUAAAAUGUUAAGCCAUUCCCUUUUAUUUCUCCUUUUGAUAUACCCUCUUAAAUAUUAUUACAGCUAUACAAUCUCGGAUUUUACAAAAAACUAGGGGAAGUUGCUGAUUUAGAGUGAAACUUAUCCUAACUAAAUCAAAUGUAUCACAAAUGAAAAAUCUCCAAAAGUACCCUUCUGCACAUGGUCUUUGAAAAAUCUCCAAAAGUACCCUUCUUUUUAAUGCUUCUGCCAAAACUCUUCCACUGCUUAUCUUUCUUCAACUUAGUUUUCUGAUAUAGUUAUUGAAGUUACAUGUCUUAAAGCUUAUUUAGAGUUUUUGGCGGAUGCACAAAAUGGUAUCCUUGUUUGAUACACUAUCUUGAUAAAGAUACGUCUGUUGCUGUUUCCAUGUUUGAAUCACUAGGAAUUUGCAAAUGCGUUAAAAAUCAGUUUUUGUCACAGAAUGAAUUCAGUUUUCAGUGUCGGCUAAACUGGGGAAAGUAUUUAAUACUCUUUAAGAUUUAAUACUCUAUAGGGUGGUAGUCCGUCCGGCCUUGCUGUAUGGAGCGGAGUGUUGGCCAGUUAAGAACUCCCACAUCCAAAAAAUGAAGGUGGCAGAAAUGCGGAUGUUGCGCUGGAUGUGUGGACUGACUCGAGGGGAUAGAGUUCGGAAUGAGACUAUCCGGGAGAAGGUUGGUGUGACUUCAGUGGAGUGUAAGAUGCGGGAAGCACGAUUGAGAUGGUUCGGACACGUGAAGAGGAGGGGCAUGGAUGCCCCGGUCCGUAGGUGUGAGAGGCUAGCGUUGGAUGGUUUUAGGCGGGGUAGGGGUAGGCCGAAGAAGUACUGGGGUGAGGUGAUUAGGCGGGACAUGGAACAGUUACAGCUCACCGAGGACAUGACCCUAGAUAGGAAGGUCUGGAAGACGCGAAUUACGGCAGAAGAGUAGGGCCAGAUUGGGUCGCUAGUGUAGGGAAUUACUUGGUGGGGUUUUUUUUUAUUUUUUAUUUUUUAUUCCCGUUAUGAUUUCGUAUUCAGUGUUCCAUGCUUAUUACGAAUCAGUGUGCUUUCCUCUGCUUUCCUCUGUUUUAUAUUCCUUAUGGGUGCCGUAUUUAUGUUAUGUCAUCUGCUUCUGUGCUUUACUAUGUGUUUGUGUGAUAUCUUGUGCCUUGAGCCGGGGGUCUUUCGGAAACAGCCUUUCUACUUCAUCAGAGGUAGAGGUAUGGACUGCGUACAUCUUACCCCCCAGACCCCACUAAGUGGGAAUACACUGGGUUUGUUGUUGUUGUUGUUGUUAUUCUGUAGUUAUCAGGAGUGUAGGAACAUUUAUUAUAUUGUCUGUUCCUAGGGCUAUAGAGCCUACUACUACUUACACCGUGAGUUUAGUUUAAUGCUUAUUAUUAUCUCUUUUGCCUGUUAAGAUAUUGUCUUCAUUGAUAUGAUCUAUGCCACGAUGGAGUUUAAUGACUUCAUUCAUUGUACACUUUACGUUUCCUUUUAAUAGCUAACUAUAUAUUUUACAUUGUAAUAUUUUAUAUGCAUGAGUUCAGUGGACUUGAAUUGCUACUUGUGAAAUCUGCUUUCCUAUUUAUGAUGGAUUUUUUAUUAAGCAUCUGAGGUUUUCUUUGAAAUGCAUGAAUAUAAAUUAUCUUCAGGUGAUUGAUAUCACGGUGAAUAGGUAGUUGAUAGAGUUUAAAAGAAGUUGAUACUAUUAUUACAAAUUUAUAGUCGUAUACAUAAUGACACCAUUGAGCUCAUAAGUGACAUCAUUACUCAGGGCUUUUAGCAUUCAAUUCUUCGGAAGGGACGCUCAGAAUAGAUCGUCAUGGAAAUGGACAGCCUCCAAGGCCGGCUCUGCUAACCAAAUAGCAGAGCCAUCUCCUGCAGUUUCAGCUGCCACAAUUCAAUCUCCUUAAGCUGUUGGUCUUUCUCCUCCUUCAGCUCUUUGGCUCAUCAGCACAUUCAUCAACAGUAGCAACGUCUUUCUUGGCAAAUCAAUAUCAAGAAAUCGACCAUGUUGGGAUCAACAAAAUCAAGAAAGCCAAUGAGGAUGUUGCAAUAAUAUCUGCAGAAACACCGGUUGUAUUUGCUCAUAUACUGCAUCCAUAGAGCCACACACAAUAUUUUACCUGCUACCUCAAUUUUGUCGAUGUAACUGAAACAUGUCAUAACUAAACGAUCAAAUCAUCAUAAUUUUAGUGCUCUUUUGAAAUGCACCUCAUCAUCAAAAGUGGUUUCUUCACUAGCUAUUGCUAUAACACAGUUGCCUAGGCCAAUGCUAAAGCUUCAAUGUUGGGCCCGCGCUACAUCUAGUAUAAUUCUAAAAUUAGAAGACACAUUUCUAUACACCGCUGAAAGUGGAGACAACAUUUUGUGUAAUCAUUGACUCAAUAAAUAUUUUUUCUCUUUCAAUGUAUUUGUUUAUUUUAAAUUAAUAAAUUUUUAAAAAUGUAGAAUAAAAUUUUAAAAUUUUGUGAUUUUAAAUUAAAAAUAUAUUAGAUGUAUCAAAAUGUCAUUUGAUCUUAUCAUAUUAAAUAUGUCCUAGAAAAAACUGUAAUUAAAAAAUUGCUAAAGUGAGCAACAAAUUUUUUUUUGACAAAUCUAUCUUUGAGAUUUGACAGAUCUUGUGGUCAUUACAAUCAAGCUGCAAAAGUCAGGGAAGGAUCAAAUUAUACCAGAUCGUUAUUCAGAAGUGUGCUAUAGUUAUUACUUACUUGGCUUAUAAAAUGAGAAAAUAAAUAACAUUCACUCUAACAACAUAUAGAAAUCAUAGUAUUCAAAAGAGAAGUAUCACAACUUGAAGUAUCUUCGAAAUCAUAUUAUUUAGAAGAGAAGUAUCACAAAUUUAUGUACCUUUUCUUUUAAAUAAUUUUGGUUGAGGAUUUUACUUUUAUAAUUUUAUACAGUGAUAAAAUUAUACGCUAGAUGAUGAAAAUCAGAUUUCAACAUCGAUUUAGGAAGUUAUAUCAGUUUCGGUUUCGUGUAUGAUUACUUGUGAUGUCAUGUGAUCGGGAGGGAAUUGGCUUAAGCCGUGAAAAAAUGCAAAGGUCUAAUACAGAUGC